UAAUACGUAGGGUGCGAGCGUUAAUCGGAAUUACUGGGCGUAAAGCGUGCGCAGGCGGUUAUUUAAGCCAGACGUGAAAGCCCCGGGCUUAACCUGGGAAUGGCGUUUGGGACUGGAUAGCUAGAGUACGGCAGAGGGAGGUGGAAUUCCACGUGUAGCAGUGAAAUGCGUAGAGAUGUGGAGGAACACCGAUGGCGAAGGCAGCCUCCUGGGCCAGUACUGACGCUCAUGCACGAAAGCGUGGGGAGCAAACAGGAUUAGAUACCCUGGUAGUCCACGCCCUAAACGAUGCGAACUAGUCGUUGGGGGAGCAAUCCCUUAGUGACGCAGCUAACGCGUGAAGUUCGCCGCCUGGGGAGUACGGUCGCAAGAUUA
rnacentral:rRNA from 1 species